GUUGAAACACUGGUUCUUGUAUAAUCACUGAAGUUAAGUAAAGUCGAGCCUGGUCAGUACCUAGAUGAGUGACCACUUGGGAAUACCAGUUGCUGCAA